CUAUUACUCUGCAAGUCUGUCAGGCAGAUCAGUAUGAAUGGUGGAGCUGCAACGGAGCAGGCAGGCUGGUAAAGUAGUCAUGGUUAGGCAAAAAUGGGACAGAGAGGAAGAAAGCGCGCAAAUGUUUUAUGAGCUGGAGCUCAUGUUCAGGGGAAUUUUAUUCUGAGCUGCAGAAGUUUGAAAGUGAAAGACAUUGUGUCAGGUUAUGCUGGUGUAAAUGCGCACUUCGCAAAAGUUGGCUGACAUGUAUGAAAAAAAAAACACACACACUACAGAAAAACCAGCAAAGAUGUGCAAAAGUUGCGCCAGAUCACCGGUGACUCGAGAGAGUGGAACUCUGAGGCCUCCUCCUGCCACCUGACCUGGACGGAUUUACACUUUGUUAUACGCGUCUGUUCAGGGGCUGCACAGGAUUGCUGCUUUGUAACAGGAAGGUCCCGGGUUUGAUCCCCAGCCUGCCGUCUUCUGCACGUAAAUGAACUCAUUCAUUUAACGGUGCACCGUAAGAGCAAGGACUGGAAAGCAGACAAUGGCACUACUGAACUGAGAAACUGCUGAGUUGCAUUUAAAGUGUUCACUGAAGACUUUCUGAUGAAGAGGAGGAUGAAGGGAGACAAACUGGGCAGAGACACAAGGAGGAGGCAGUUUAACCACAGGACUAGAAGGCAGGUUUCCACUGCAUUCACCCAUCCAGACAAGCGAUGGGGAAACCACCUCAGCUGAGCUUAUCUGCUGCUGAGUCAGUGAGAACAUGGUCAUGAGAUGGGGAGAUGGUGACCGCAGGCUGUGGCGCUUGGUGUCGUGGUUAGCAGCUGCCGGUCCUCAGUGACCUAAACCGUUCUGUAAAUUCCUCUGGGUACAAUUGGAUGAAGUGUUCAAAGGAAGAAUAAAGUGGAGAGGUUUGAACGGCAGUAGGCAAGACUUUAAUCGAUGCAUUGCAUCAGAGGACCAUAAAAACACCAGCUGGAGAUUUAUGUUGUUAACUUCCUCCGGUGCUUAAGUUUGUUUGGCUUGUUAACAGGUUUUUGAGUUCUGUAGGAGAUUUUUUUUUCAACAGUGGUCUUAACACUUGGUCAUGCCGACUCUGUUGGAAUCGCAUCUGGUUAAGAAACAUGGCUAGCAAAAAAUAGGAAUUAGUUCACGAAAACAUACAUUUACAGGACGUUCCUUACUGCUGCAGCUAUAAACAAACCAAGAGCUAAAAAUCCUUAGUCAGUCUUUUUCUAGCAGCCAUAUGGUCUCAAUCUGAAUUUUUUUUUUUUUGUUUUUUUUUUUUGGUGAGGGCAAAAUGUCUAUAUAAAACUAUUCUAAGCUAAAUCUCCUUUAGCACAAUUAAUGGCACCCCUGCUGUCUAGUCAUGGUGAACGGCAGUUACAAGUUAGUCUUCAUGUACAUAUUAUUUCACAAAUGUGGAGCA